rfam:Lonsdalea quercina strain ATCC 29281 genome assembly, contig: Ga0052894_scaffold00004.4
CCCAGAGGUAUUAAUGGGUGACAAGUGGAUGUGAUGUUCACCAUGAACCAUAUUUAUUUCACCAACCUACGCGGAUGCGUAGGUUUUUUUU